GACGAACGCUGGCGGCGUGCUUAACACAUGCAAGUGGAGCGACGAACCAGGGCUUGCCCUGGGGCAAAGCCGCGAACGGGUGAGUAACACGUGGGUAACCUGCCCCGAUGACCGGGACAACCCGAGGAAACUCGGGCUAAUACCGGAUGAGCUCACGCCACAUCAGUGGCAUGAGGAAAGGAAGCUUCGGCCUCCGCAUUGGGAUGGGGCCCGCGGCCCAUUAGCUUGUUGGGGGGUAAAGGCCUACCAAGGCUUCGAUGGGUAGCUGGUCUGAGAGGACGAUCAGCCACACUGGGACUGAGACACGGCCCAGACUCCUACGGGAGGCAGCAGUGGGGAAUCUUGCGCAAUGCGCGAAAGCGUGACGCAGCAACGCCGCGUGCGGGAAGACGGCCU
rnacentral:rRNA from 1 species